rnacentral:lncRNA from 1 species
GGCAGUUCAGGGGGUAUUCUGGUUGCCUUACCCAGCUCUGAAGUCUGUCAGCCUCUUCAGAUGUCACUUGCCCUGUGGUAAGGAAGUGUAGUUGGCAGCUGGUGCAGUGGCAAGAAGAGAAAGGAGGUUCCCCAAGACAGAAAUAUCUCAGCAGACCGUGAUCAUGGGCUACAUUCUCCAUACCAGCUUCAUAGCUCCAGUGAGAAAAUAAAUUCCUGCACCCAGGAGACGUGGAGUAAGAGAUACAGCUGACCUUGACCACAUUUCUUACUUCCAAGAAGAUUGUAGCAAUAAUUCAGUGCAGUCUUCAGGGAACACCAAGGCCUGUUUGAUUUUCCAAGUAUCAACAAGUGGAGUUGACAAGAGUGACAAAUGGUCAGAGCAAAG